CACCAGACCAAAGGACAUUUCUCCAAAAAGUACGAUCUUUGUCUCCAUGUGCAGUUGCAAACCGUAGUCUGGCUUUUUUAUGGCGGUUUUGGAGCAGUGGCUUCUUCCUUGCUGAGCAGCCUUUCAGGUUAUGUCGAUAUAGGACUCGUUUUACUUGUGGAUAUUGAUACUUUUGUACCUGUUUCCUCCAGCAUCUUCACAUUGUCCUUUGCUGUUGUUCUGGGAUUGAUUUGCACUUUUUGCACCAAAGUUCGUUCAUCUCUAGAACGCGUCUCCUUCCAGAGCCAUAUGACGGCUGCGUGGUCCCAUGGUUUUUAUACUUCCGUAUUAUUGUUUGUACAGAUGAACGUGGUACCUUCAGGCGUUUGGAAAUUGCUCCCAAGGAUGAACCAGACCUGGCUGAUUUAUUUUGAUUUUCCCAUGAUGUCAAGCAAAGAGGCACUGAGUUUGAAGGUGUAUGGGACGGUUUCACCAAGCUGAGAGCUGAGUUCUCCCCUCAGGCUGGUGGCCACACCUACUUCCUGCCCUGGCAGCGCUACUUCCUGCGGGUGGUGGAGCAGGAGCUCCAGGCUGUGUCGUCAUGCCAACUGGGUGUUCCGUACUUCGAGUGGACGGUCGACUCUGGGGAUCUUUUGACCUCAGCUGUCUGGCAGGCCGAGAUUUUUGGAGGAGACGGAGAGAGAGAGGGGAAUGGCGAGAGGGAAAGGGAUGAAGAGAGGGAUAGAGCGAGUGAGGGGGAUGGAGAGCAAGAGAGCAACUCUGUCUCAGGCUGUGUCCCCCACCACUCCUUCCAGGGCUUGUCUGCACGGUUCCACUGGUCCCCCUGUCUACGACGGAGCUUCAACACCUCGGUGUCUGUGCCUGACGCGGUGAGCGUCCAGAGGCUACUGUCCCAGGGAAACUUCCUGUCGUUCUCCCAGGCUCUGCAGGGGCUGUCUGGGCUAUUUAGGCUCUGGGUGGGGGGCCACAUGGCCUCUCCUCUGGCCGCCUAUGACCCCCUCUACCUCUCACACGCCGCUUUCAUCGACAAGCUCUGGACACACUGGCAGGACAGGCACAGAGACGUGCACACUCAUGAAGAAGCUCAUGGGCACACUCACCUACACACCCAGUACCCGGUGAGGCAGCGCCACGUCAAGAUGAAGCCGUUCGGCAUUGCUCCUGAUGAUGUGAUGUCUUCACGGGAACAACUGUGUGUGGUGUAUGUACCCAUAACCCUCGGAGCUCCCUGCA
rnacentral:lncRNA from 1 species